UUUUUUUUUUUUUUUUUGUUUUUUUGGAGACAGGGUCUCAGUCUGUCACCUAGGCUGGAGUGUAAUGGCACCUGUGCUCAAACGAUCCUCCUGUCUCAGCCUCCCAAGCAGCUGGGACUACAGACAUGCUACAGGCAUGCACCAGCAUGCCUGUCUAAUCUUUUCUAAUAAAAUUUCUGCCUGCCUUAAAGACAGCACAGGGAGAAAUAUUUGAGCUUGACACUCCUAUCUCCUUGUGAGUCAACUUAUAUAUAAUAUAAAGUUUUUCUCAAAAACAACAAAAAACCCAGUGUCAUGGUAUCGGCUUCUGGCGCAUCUAGCAGGGAGCCGUUUUUACUACAGGGCAGGGCAGAGCUGUCUAGUGGUAGAGGCUCAGAUUGUCUCCAAAGUGGGGGAAAAUAUGUACAUUACAUACUAAAAUAAUAGAAAUAAGCACUGGUUCCCAGCUAUUGUUACUAAAACCAAGUGGAAGCUUCUUUGUUGGAAUGGUUGCUAAAAUGUUCUCAGCACAUGUUGGAAAAUAUUUUAAUGGACUCUUGGCUGGCAAGCUCCAGUCACGAGUCCCAAGUUUUCUCUCUAGUGGGUCUUCGCAACUCCGAAAAGCUGGUGCGAGGGAGAGUCACAGCUUGGGAGAGUGGCCCCUCAGCAGCUGCAGCACGCCAAGAUUCUAGCUGGGUUUCCGAGGCACCUGUUGUCCAAAUCAAGUGACUUCUCCCUUUCUCCUCUCGAUGCUGGGAAAGUAGCUCAGAUGCACAAUUGAUUCUGUUCCCACUUACGUCCCUAAGAAAAGGGCUGCUUUGUGUACUUUUCCUCCCAGUCCCUUUUACCCAGAGUCUCCCAGAUUAGGUGAGCCGCACACUAAUUAUGCCUGAGAUCAACACUACAACUCGGGUUCUUUCCAGCAGUCUGGAGCAAGUGAGUACUCACUUUGUCAUCUAUCAGGGCAGGCUUCAGCCUAAAGCUCAAUGCCCAGCAAUGCUCCUGCAGAGGAUGAAGCCCAUGAUGCCAUGUCUGGUCCUCUGCACAGCAGGGGAUAACAACACUCUGGUCUGCAAUCAUCCUGGCCCCUCUCUUCUUCCUGUAAUGCCAUCGAAGGUCUUGUUUAAGAGUCCAGCCAGGCCGGGCACGGUGGCUCAAGCCUAAAAGAAAACAAAACGAAACCCCUUCUGCUUGGAAAAAUGUCCAUCUUGGAAACUGGCACCUAGGAUGCCUCUAGAAUGAUAGAUAAGCAUCUGUCAUUGGCCCAGUAGUGAAGCAGCCACAUUAUUGUAGGAACAAAUAGUUGGAAAAUGAUACCAUCUCACGCUAUACCAGGAAUUACAAUGCACAAGAUACUCGCACAUUCCCGAUCUUAUUUGGUCCUCAUAGCAGCCUUGUGGGGUAGGCAAACAAGUGAUGAUGUCCUCUCCAUUUUACAAGGGGAAAAAAUGGGUUUGAUCCAGAGCAAUUGCCAUUGUACAUUUUUUUUUUUUUUUCUGGGGGGACAGAGUCUUGCUCUGUCGUGCAGGCUGGAGUGCAAUGAUG
rnacentral:lncRNA from 1 species